UUGAGGGCUCGAGUCAAUGGUUUGGGCUAUCGGCUAGAUGAACGUCUUAUGCCAUACUUGGAGGCAUUCGGAUUCGGAUCAGUGGCAUUGAUCUGCAUGUUCGAUUUGAGAUGCGACUUGAUAUUCGCUUUGGUCGAGCGGUGGUGUCCGGAGACCUGCACAUUUCAUUUUCCGUGUGGGGAGUGCACCAUCACUUUGGAAGAUGUUGCACUGCAACUCGGGCUCCCAAUCGACAAUAGUGCAGUCACAAGUCUAGUUGCCUGUUCGUACAGUUAAGGCUCAACAGUAUUAGCAACAUAGUAUCGUGAGCUUUGUUAGGCGAAAAAAGCACGGUACCAUGGACAUAGGUGGGUGCCUGAUAUUGCUGCAGUCCUAGGCACUAUAAAGGAUUCCAUUUUUGGCAUCAGUUAGUCACUAAACACAUCUUCCCACUUGUAAAUAGGUGAUAAAAUUUAAGCAUUACAUCAAGAAUUUUACUUUUUUAUUAAAAUUUAUUCUAACAAGUUUAAUUUUUUUAGUAGAUAGAGUAUUUCUUUGGGUAUUGCGAGGUCAUAUAUGCUUUUGAUUUAUCGAUAGACGAUUGAGACACGUCAGGGAGGGGGUAAUUUUUUUCUAAUAUUCAUGAUAUGUAAUUACUUUAUUUAUAUUAUCUGACUCGUGUUACUAUAACCAUGUUUUUAA